AUUCCAGCUCCAAUAGCGUAUAUUAAAGUUGUUGCAGUUAAAAAGCUCGUAGUUGGAUUUCUGGCAGGAGUGACCGACCACAAACUCUGUUUGUGAGUUGUGUCAUUCUGGCCAUCCUUGGUAAGAUCCUUUUUGGCAUUAAGUUGUCGGGAAGGGGAUGACCAUCGUUUACUGUGAAAAAAUUAGAGUGUUUAAAGCAGGCUUAUGCCGUUGAAUAUAUUAGCAUGGAAUAAUAAGAUAGGACUUUGAGUCUAUUUUGUUGGUUUGCGAGUCAAAGUAAUGAUUAAUAGGGACAGUUGGGGGUAUUCGUAUUUCAUUGUCAGAGGUGAAAUUCUUGGAUUUCUGAAAGACGAACUACUGCGAAAGCAUUUACCAAGGAUGUUUUCAUUG
rnacentral:rRNA from 1 species